rnacentral:rRNA from 1 species
UGGGGGAUAUUGCACAAUGGGCGAAAGCCUGAUGCAGCGACGCCGCGUGGGGGAUGAAGGCUUUCGGGUUGUAAACCUCUUUCGCUAUCGAACAAGGCCCGCUUAGGGUGGGUUGAGGGUAGGUGGAGAAGAAGCGCCGGCUAACUACGUGCCAGCAGCCGCGGUAAUACGUAGGGCGCGAGCGUUGUCCGGAAUUAUUGGGCGUAAAGGGCUUGUAGGCGGCUUGUUGCGCCUGCUGUGAAAACGCGGGGCUUAACUUCGCGCGUGCAGUGGGUACGGGCAGGCUUGAGUGUGGUAGGGGUGACUGGAAUUCCAGGUGUAGCGGUGGAAUGCGCAGAUAUCUGGAGGAACACCGAUGGCGAAGGCAGGUCACUGGGCCAUUACUGACGCUGAGAAGCGAAAGCAUGGGUAGCGAACAGG